rnacentral:rRNA from 1 species
UGAGGAAUAUUGGGUCAAUGGGACGGGGAGUCUGAACCAGCCAAGUAGCGUGCAGGAUGACGGCCCUAUGGGUUGUAAACUGCUUUUAUAGGGGGAUAAAGUGUGUCACGUGUGGCAUAUUGCAGGUACCCUAUGAAUAAGGACCGGCUAAUUCCGUGCCAGCAGCCGCGGUAAUACGGAAGGUCCGGGCGUUAUCCGGAUUUAUUGGGUUUAAAGGGUGCGCAGGCGGGACUCGUCAAGUCAGCGGUAAAAAUUCGGGGCUCAACCCCGUCCUGCCGUUGAAACUGCGAGACUGGAGUGCGACAGAGGAAGGCGGAAUGCGAGGUGUAGCGGUGAAAUGCAUAGAUAUCGCGCAGAACUCCGAUUGCGAAGGCAGCUUUCCAUGUCGUGACUGACGCUGAGGCACGAAAGCGU